rnacentral:piRNA from 1 species
CAGUUGAAUUCACCAGUGGACAAAA